rnacentral:tRNA from 1 species
GUAGUCGUGGCCGAGCGGUUAAGGCGGUGGACUAGAAAUCCAUUGGGAUCAAUUCUCGGCCUUUUAGCUAAGAUCAAGUGCAGAAAUCCAUUGGGGUUUCCCUGCACAGGUUCAAAUCCUGCCAACUGUG